rnacentral:rRNA from 1 species
GUUAUAGUUUAUUUGAUGGUCUUUACUACAUGGAUAACCGUGGUAAUUCUAUGGCUAAUACAUGCGCACAUGCCUCUYCCCCUGGRAGGGCAGUGUUUAUUAGAUACAGAACCAACCCACCUUCYGGUGGUCCUCAGGUGAUUCAUAGUAACCGAACGGAUCGCGUU